GACGAACGCUGGCGGCGUGCCUAAUACAUGCAAGUAGAACGCACAGUUUAUACCGUAGCUUGCUACACCAUAGACUGUGAGUUGCGAACGGGUGAGUAACGCGUAGGUAACCUGCCUGGUAGCGGGGGAUAACUAUUGGAAACGAUAGCUAAUACCGCAUAAUAUUAAUUAUUGCAUGAUAAUUGAUUGAAAGAUGCAACUGCAUCACUACCAGAUGGACCUGCGUUGUAUUAGCUAGUAGGUGAGGUAACGGCUCACCUAGGCGACGAUACAUAGCCGACCGGAGAGGGUGAUCGGCCACACUGGGACUGAGACACGGCCCAGACUCCUACGGGAGGCAGCAGUAGGGAAUCUUCGGCAAUGGACGAAAGUCUGACCGAGCAACGCCGCGUGAGUGAAGAAGGUUUUCGGAUCGUAAAGCUCUGUUGUAAGAGAAGAACGGGUGUGAGAGUGGAAAGUUCACACUGUGACGGUAUCUUACCAGAAAGGGACGGCUAACUACGUG
rnacentral:rRNA from 1 species